CCUACGGGUGGCAGCAGUGAGGAAUAUUGGUCAAUGGGCGAAAGCCUGACCCAGCAACGUCGCGUGAAGGAAGACGGCUCUCCGGUUUUAAACCUCUUUUUACAGGGAAGUACAGAAGACGUUACCUGCCUAAUAAUCUACGUCUAAUUACGUGCCAGCAGCCGCGGUAAUACGCAGGUGGCAGGCGUUAUCCGGAUUGACUGGGUGUAAAGGGCGUGUAGACGGGCUGAAAAGUCAGUUGUGAAGUCCGGGGGCUCAACCGCCGAACUGCAUUUGAAACUGUUGGUCUUGAGUACCGGUGAGGAAGGCGGAAUUCAUGGUGUAGCGGUGAAAUGCGUAGAUAUUAGGAAGAACGCCGGUGGCGAAGGCAGGCGGCUGGAGGGCAACUGACGGUGAGGCGCGAAAGCGUGGGGAGCAAACAGGAUUAGAUACCCGGGUAGUC
rnacentral:rRNA from 1 species